UGGGGAAUAUUGCACAAUGGGGGAAACCCUGAUGCAGCGACGCCGCGUGAAGGAAGAAGUAUCUCGGUAUGUAAACUUCUAUCAGCAGGGAAGAUAAUGACGGUACCUGACUAAGAAGCCCCGGCUAACUACGUGCCAGCAGCCGCGGUAAUACGUAGGGGGCAAGCGUUAUCCGGAUUUACUGGGUGUAAAGGGAGCGUAGGCGGCGGAGCAAGUCAGAAGUGAAAGCCCGGGGCUCAACCCCGGGACGGCUUUUGAAACUGCCCUGCUUGAUUUCAGGAGAGGUAAGCGGAAUUCCUAGUGUAGCGGUGAAAUGCGUAGAUAUUAGGAGGAACACCAGUGGCGAAGGCGGCUUACUGGACUGACAAUGACGCUGAGGCUCGAAAGCGUGGGGAGCAAACAGGAUUAGAUACCCUGGUAGU
rnacentral:rRNA from 1 species